rnacentral:rRNA from 1 species
UUCUUUAAGAACUAAUUUAAAGUAAAACCUGCUCAAUGAAAUUUUAAUAGCCGCAGCUAACUGUGCUAAGGUAGCAUAAUAAUUAGCUUCUUAAUUAGAAGAUAGAAUGAAAGGUUAAACGAUAAUUAACUGUCUCAUAAGUAAAAUUUAAUCUUCUAUAUUAGUUAAAAAGCUAAUAAAAAAUUGAUGGACGACAAGACCCUGACAAACUUAUAAUUUAGUUGGGGCAACAAUAUAAAAACACCUUAUAUAUUUCAACAAAUCCUGUAAAUAAGAAAUAGAAUAGUUACUGCAGGGAUAACAGCGCUAUACUUUUCAAGAGCCCUCAUCAAAAAAAGAUAUUACGACCUCGAUGUUGAAUUAAUUUAUCUUAUAGGCGUAAAAGCUUACUAAGUUAGGUCUGUUCGACCAUAAUAAAAUU